ACUACGGGUACGGGGAUUAGGGUUCGAUUCCGGAGAGGGAGCCUGAGAAACGGCUACCACAUCCAAGGAAGGCAGCAGGCGCGCAAAUUACCCAAUCCCGACACGGGGAGGUAGUGACAAUAAAUAACAAUACAGGGCCCUCACGGGUCUUGUAAUUGGAAUGAGUACAAUUUAAAUCUCUUAACGAGGAACAAUUGGAGGGCAAGUCUGGUGCCAGCAGCCGCGGUAAUUCCAGCUCCAAUAGCGUAUAUUAAAGUUGUUGCAGUUAAAAAGCUCGUAGUUGAAUUUUGGGUCUGGCCGGGCGGUCCACCUUCCGGUGAGCACUGUUCCGACGCCGGACCUAUCCUUCUGGUGAGACGGCAUGCCCUUCGCUGGGUGAGUCGGGGAACCAGGACCAUUACCUUGAAAAAAUUAGAGUGUUCAAAGCAGGCAUUUGCUCGAAUACAUUAGCAUGGAAUAAUGAAAUAGGACGCGUGGUACUAUUUUGUUGGUUUCUAGGACCGCCGUAAUGAUUAAUAGGGAUAGUUGGGGGCAUUAGUAUUCAAUUGUCAGAGGUGAAAUUCUUGGAUUUAUUGAAGACUAACUUCUGCGAAAGCAUUUGCCAAGGAUGUUUUCAUUAAUCAAGAACGAAAGUUAGGGGAUCGAAGACGAUCAGAUACCGUCGUAGUCUUAACCAUAAACUAUGCCGACUAGGAAUCGGGCGAUGUUAUUUUAACGACUCGCCCGGCGCCUUAUGGGAAAAANNNGNNUUUGGG
rnacentral:rRNA from 1 species